rnacentral:lncRNA from 1 species
GUAUUUUCCCAUCUGAAUUAUGUUUUUUAGUUUCAUUCUAUCAGCCCGUUGCUGUCUAUGCAAAGAAUGAGGCAAGCAGAAUUUAAAUCGUGGCUUGUGCCAUACUUCCUGUCACUCAAAGCUCUGCAUAGCGGUUCUCAGAGAAAGGCGAUGAAUUUGGCAGUUCCUGGAGACACAACAUGAAUGUUCAGAUUCUGCUUCUUUGGCUGAGUCCAGGUUCCUUUUUCUUUUUUUUUGUUAUAUCUUGUAAUAUUUGUUCCACCGUGGAAGGCAUGAAAAUCUCCUUUUAGUACCAAGAAAUUAUUUGAACUCAGACAAGCUUUGAAUUCUUGCUUUAAAAAUAUGUAAUCCACUUAAGAGUUUGGGAUCAUGCCUGCCACUCUGAAACAAUAUCUGAGAUGGAUAAGUGAACAUAUUUUGAAUGACACAAAUGGUUCCCAUCUACGGAAAGCAAUGACAGGUGUGAUCAAGAAGAAAUUACAGGACCUGACAGGAGAAAUGGAUUGUGAUGAGCCUUUGGGAGAAGCUUUGGAGAACAUAAGGUGGGGCUGUGUUUCUGAGACUAGGGUUGGCAUGGAUGGCAAAGGCAUAGACUU